rnacentral:rRNA from 1 species
CGGGACGGGUGAGUAAUGUCUGGGAACGUAGCUCGAUGGAGGGGGAUAACUACUGGAAACGGUAGCUAAUACCGCAUAACGUCGCAAGACCAAAGAGGGGGACCUUAGGGCCUCUUGCCAUCGGAUGUGCCCAGAUGGGAUUAGCUAGUAGGUGGGGUAAAGGCUCACCUAGGCGACGAUCCCUAGCUGGUCUGAGAGGAUGACCAGCCACACUGGAACUGAGACACGGUCCAG